rnacentral:tRNA from 1 species
GUCUGGCUGGCUCAGUAGGUGGAGCACGUGACUCUUGAUUUUAGGGUCAUGAGUUCAAGCCCCAUGCUGGGCA